AUAUACUGCAAGUUAAUAUCU
rnacentral:snRNA from 1 species